rnacentral:rRNA from 1 species
UGGAGGUAGUGACAAUAAAUCACAAUGCGGGACUAUUUAGUUUUGCAAUUGGAUUGAGAACAAUGUACAAGAGUUAUCGAUAAACAAUUGGAGGGCAAGUCUGGUGCCAGCAGCCGCGGUAAUUCCAGCUCCAAUAGCGUAUAUUAACGUUGUUGCAGUUAAAAAGCUCGUAGUUGAAGUGUGGGGUGAAAGGUUUGUCUUUUGUUUUAAAAGAUGUUCUGCUCACCCCCUCUCCAAUGUGUUGUUAUGGGUAUUAAUUUACUUGUAAUAGCUAUUGGUCAUUUACUGUGAGAAAAUUAGAGUGUUCAAAGCAGGCAUUUGCUUGAAUAUAUUAGCAUGGAAUAAUAAUAAAAGGCUUUUAUGGUCGAUUUAAUUGGUUUGUUCAUGAAAGCAAGAUUAAAAGGGACAGUUGGGGGUAUUCAUAUUCAAUAGUUAGAGGUGAAAUUCUCGGAUUUAUGGAAGAUGAACAAGUGCGAAAGCAA